rnacentral:rRNA from 1 species
GUACGGAAGGCAGCAGUGAGGAAUAUUGCACAAUGGGGGAAACCCUGAUGCAGCCAUGCCGCGUGUGUGAAGAAGGCCUUCGGGUUGUAAAGCACUUUCAGUUGUGAGGAAAGGGUUGUAGUUAAUAGCUGCCAUCUGUGACGUUAACAACAGAAGAAGCACCGGCUAACUUCGUGCCAGCAGCCGAGGUAGUACGAGGGGUGCAAGCGUUAAUCGGAAUUACUGGGCGUAAAGCGUACGUAGGCGGUUUAAUAAGCAAGAUGUGAAAGCCCAGGGCUCAACCUUGGAACUGCAUUUUGAACUGUUAGACUAGAGUACUGUAGAGGGUGGUGAAAUUUCCAGUGUAGCGGUGAAAUGCGUAGAGAUUGGAAGGAACAUCAGUGGCGAAGGCGGCCACCUGGACAGAUACUGACGCUGAGGUACGAAAGCGUGGGGAGCGAACAGGAUUAGAUACCCCGGU